rnacentral:misc_RNA from 1 species
AUAAAUGUUUCCAUUCCAUAUAAAUGAUUGUAUUCAAAAAGUAUAGUCAUGGAUCACCAGAAACCUUUUUCUUUUUUUUUUUUUAACGGUUGCUGCAUCUGAACUCUUUGGCUGUCAGUGGUUAUCAAUCAUUUCAUUUACUGGCAGUAGGUUUUGAUAUUGGAUAAUAAUGAGAAGCAGAAGCUACAGUUAUAGUCCUUCACCCCCUAGGGGUUAUGGAAGGAGACGCCGUAGUCUGAGUCCUAGGGGUCGUUAUGGAGGCCGUGCAAGGGACCUUCCUACUAGUCUUCUGGUUCGCAACCUUCGGCAUGAUUGCAGGCCAGAAGAUCUACGUGGACCCUUUGGGCAAUUUGGUCCUCUCAAGGAUAUAUACUUGCCUCGGGAUUACCAUACUGG